rnacentral:lncRNA from 1 species
UACUAUGCUAUGUGAAAUAAGCCAGUCACAAAAGGACACAUGCUGUGUAAUUACACUGAUAUGAGCAAACCUUUGGGAAGGUUUCCCUUGGCCCCUACAGUGUUGGCGUCACAGACAGGAUCCUAAAGCUGCUCUACUUUUCUGGAAGCCACAGUCCAGGGAACCCAGGACCUGACAAAGCAUCAGAAGGGUCUAAACUCCAAUAAAAUCCAGCUGGGUUACAUCAAUUCAGACAUCUGGAUAAAAGGAUGAAUGAAACCAUGUACAUAAUACAGAAUUAUGCAUGCCAGGAAAAAAAAUUAUACUGCCUAAAAGCUGCAACCUUCAUGACAUCAAAUCUAUUUUAACACUGGCUGGUUAUGUGAGGAAAAGGCUAAUAAAAAAAAAUUCUGGCUGACCAAAGAAGUAUGUAUGUAUGUAUGUGUAUUUAUUUUUAAAUUAAUAUUGAGAUGGAUUAAUGUUCUAAAAUUUGGAAUUUCUAACAUUAU